AAAUUGAAGAGUUUGAUCAUGGCUCAGAUUGAACGCUGGCGGCAGGCCUAACACAUGCAAGUCGAACGGUAACAGGAAGCAGCUUGCUGCUUCGCUGACGAGUGGCGGACGGGUGAGUAAUGUCUGGGAAACUGCCUGAUGGAGGGGGAUAACUACUGGAAACGGUAGCUAAUACCGCAUAACGUCGCAAGACCAAAGAGGGGGACCUUCGGGCCUCUUGCCA
rnacentral:rRNA from 2 species